UACAGAGGUCUCAAGCGUUGUUCGGAUUCAUUGGGCGUAAAGGGUGCGUAGGCGGCGCGGUAAGUCGGGUGUGAAAUCUCGGAGCUUAACUCCGAAACUGCAUUCGAUACUGCCGUGCUUGAGGACUGGAGAGGAGAGUGGAAUUCCUGGUGUAGCGGUGAAAUGCGCAGAUAUCAGGAAGAACACCCGUGGCUAAGGCGGCUCUCUAGUACGGUACUGACGCUGAGACGCGAAAGCGUGGGAAGCAAACAGG
rnacentral:rRNA from 1 species